rnacentral:tmRNA from 1 species
GGGUCUGUAAAGGUUUCGACGGGGAUUUGAAAGUAUGAUAAGCGCGGCGGGCCGAGCAAUCCCGUUAAAAGGUUCACCUAAAAUUAAACGCAGAUUCUAAAAAGAAACUUGCAAUGGCUGCCUAAGGGCAGUGCCGCGGCAUAAGCCGCCCGUCGAGUGAGGGAGGACUGCGAACCUCGCCCGGCGUCAAAUCAGCAGUGCACGUGAACCGGGGAUUUGCCGUUGACCCGGUCACGGACGAAACGGCUACCCGACCGCAAAACCUGUCGCCCGGUGCUGCGCGAAGGGAAUUUCAAAAGAGCGACUGCCCGCGAAGAAAGUCAUACCGACGGUUUUCGGACAGGGGUUCGAUUCCCCUCAGAUCCACCA